rnacentral:rRNA from 1 species
GAGUUUGAUCUUGGCUCAGAUUGAACGCUGGCGGCAUGCCUUACACAUGCAAGUCGAACGAAGCACUCAGGAGCGAUUUCGGUCAAUCCUGUUUGACUGAGUGGCGGACGGGUGAGUAACGCGUGAGUAACCUACCUCGCAGUGGGGAAUAACAGUUGGAAACGACUGCUAAUACCGCAUAAUGCAGAGAGACCGCAUGAUCUUUCUGCCAAAGAUUUAUCGCUGUGAGAUGGACUCGCGUCUGAUUAGCUAGUUGGUGAGGUAACGGCUCACCAAGGCGACGAUCAGUAGCCGGACUGAGAGGUUGACCGGCCACAUUGGGACUGAGACACGGCCCAGACUCCUACGGGAGCAGCAGUGGGGAAUAUUGGGCAAUGGGCGCAAGCCUGACCCAGCAACGCCGCGUGAAGGAAGAA